rnacentral:tRNA from 1 species
UAAAUGAAAGCCAAAAAAGAGGCGUCUAGCUGUUAAUUAGAAAAAUAUAUUUAUUUUAAUAUUCAUUUAG